AUUACAGCCUCUCAAGAAGAACAAAACCUUGUUCACCCUCAGCCACCGGAGAAAUUUGCCGAAGGAGACGAUACAAGUCAAGGUGUUUAAAAUCUGGUGGAUUGAGCCGAGGAUUAAAGAAAUUGUAAGGAAAAUUUUACUGUGUGUUAGGGGAGGCAAAUCGGAACCGUAAAGUACGUCAUUGGGCUGUUUGAUCAAGAUCUAACAGGAGAUUGAGGAGACAGAGUAGACGUUUAGCGUUAUUUGCACUGCUAUCGAGGUGAGAAUGCGGAUGACGGCCAGCAUCCCGAGACAUGAGCGGUUUCCCGUGGAUGUGGGUGGGGUUUAUGGGUAGCGUAGGGUUUUAUUAUUAAAGACUUCCGCUUUGUUAAAUUUUUAAAGACUUAUUAAUUAUGUCUUAAUGGAUUUCUAAAUACAUUUUAUUCAUUUUC